rnacentral:rRNA from 1 species
GACGAACGCUGGCGGCGUGCUUAACACAUGCAAGUCGAACGGACAGGCCCUGCUUUUGUUGGUUGCUCGAGUGGCGCACGGGUGAGUAACACGUGUGUAAACUGCCCUUGACUUUGUGGUAACUUCAGGAAACUGGGGCUAAUACCGGAUAGGAGCUCCUGCUGCAUGGUGUUGGUUGGAAAGUUUCGGCGGUUGGGGAUGGACUCGCGGCUUAUCAGCUUGUUGGUGGGGUAGUGGCUUACCAAGGCUUUGACGGGUAGCCGGCCUGAGAGGGUGACCGGCCACAUUGGGACUGAGAUACGGCCCAGACUCCUACGGGAGGCAGCAGUGGGGAAUAUUGCACAAUGGGCGGAAGCCUGAUGCAGCAACGCCGCGUGCGGGAUGACGGCCUUCGGGUUGUAAACCGCUUUCGCCUGUGACGAAGCGUGAGUGACGGUAAUGGGUAAAGAAGCACCGGCUAACUACGUG